UACGUAGGGUCCGAGCGUUGUCCGGAAUUAUUGGGCGUAAAGGGCUCGUAGGCGGUCUGUUGCGUCGGGAGUGAAAACUUACAGCUUAACUGUGAGCGUGCUUCCGAUACGGGCAGACUUGAGGUAUUUCAGGGGAGAACGGAAUUCCUGGUGUAGCGGUGAAAUGCGCAGAUAUCAGGAGGAACACCGGUGGCGAAGGCGGUUCUCUGGGAAUAUCCUGACGCUGAGGAGCGAAAGUGUGGGGAGCGAACAGG
rnacentral:rRNA from 1 species